rnacentral:tRNA from 1 species
UGGCUGAGUGGUAAAGCACUUGGCUUCCAAACCAGGGUUCCAGAUUCAAAUCCUGG